CAGAACGAACGCUGGCGGCAUGGAUUAGGCAUGCAAGUUGAACGAACGUCCUUCGGGAGUGAGUAGCGGAAGGGUGAGGAACGCGUGAGUAAUCUGCCCCCCAGUUGGGAAUAACAGUUGGAAACGACUGCUAAUACCGAAUGUGGCUUAAGCUUCGCCUGGAGCUUUGGCUAAAGAUUUAUCGCUGGGGGAUGAGCUCGCGUCCCAUUAGGUAGUUGGUGAGGUAACGGCUCACCAAGCCGACGAUGGGUAGCUGGUCUGAGAGGAUGGUCAGCCACACUGGGACUGAGACACUGCCCAGACUCCUACGGGAGGCUGCAGUCGAGAAUCUUGGGCAAUGCGCGAAAGCGUGACCCAAGCAAUGCCGCGUGUAUGAUGAAGGCCCUCGGGUCGUAAAGUACUGUCUCCCGUGACGAAAUUUGACGGUAGCGGGGAAGGAAGCCACGGCUAACUACGUGCCAGCAGCUGC
rnacentral:rRNA from 1 species